ACGAACGCUGGCGGCGUGCUUAACACAUGCAAGUCGAACGGAAAGGCCCCUUUGGGGGUACUCGAGUGGCGAACGGGUGAGUAACACGUGAGUAACCUGCCCUUGACUUCGGGAUAACUUCAGGAAACUGGGGCUAAUACCGGAUAGGAAUCCUUGCUGCAUGGUGGGGGUUGGAAAGCUUCGGCGGUUUUGGGUGGACUCGCGGCUUAUCAGCUUGUUGGUGGGGUAGUGGCUUACCAAGGCUUUGACGGGUAGCCGGCCUGAGAGGGCGACCGGCCACAUUGGGACUGAGAUACGGCCCAGACUCCUACGGGAGGCAGCAGGGGGGAAUAUUGCACAAUGGGCGGAAGCCUGAUGCAGCAACGCCGCGUGCGGGAGGACGGCCUUCGGGUUGGAAACCGCUUUCAGCAGGGGCGAAGCUUGUGGUGACGGUACCUGCAGAAGAAGCACCGGCUAACUACGUG
rnacentral:rRNA from 1 species